UACGGAGGGUGCGAGCGUUGUUCGGAAUCACUGGGCGUAAAGCGCGUGUAGGCGGCUCUUCAAGUCAGGCGUGAAAGCCCCGGGCUUAACUCGGGAACUGCGCUUGAUACUGUCGAGCUAGAGUGUGGAAGGGGCGAUUGGAAUUCCGUGUGUAGCGGUGAAAUGCGUAGAUAUACGGAGGAACACCAGAGGCGAAGGCGGAUCGCUGGGCCAACACUGACGCUGAUGUGCGAAAGCUAGGGGAGCAAACGGG
rnacentral:rRNA from 1 species